GACGAACGCUGGCGGCGUGCCUAAUACAUGCAAGUGGGACGCAAGGAAACACACUGUGCUUGCACACCGUGUUUUCUUGAGUCGCGAACGGGUGAGUAACGCGUAGGUAACCUGUCUAUUAGCGGGGGAUAACUAUUGGAAACGAUAGCUAAUACCGCAUAAUAUUAAUUAUUGCAUGAUAAUUGAUUGAAAGAUGCAAGCGCAUCACUAGUAGAUGGACCUGCGUUGUAUUAGCUAGUUGGUAAGGUAAGAGCUUACCAAGGCGACGAUACAUAGCCGACCUGAGAGGGUGAUCGGCCACACUGGGACUGAGACACGGCCCAGACUCCUACGGGAGGCAGCAGUAGGGAAUCUUCGGCAAUGGACGAAAGUCUGACCGAGCAACGCCGCGUGAGUGAAGAAGGUUUUCGGAUCGUAAAGCUCUGUUGUAAGUCAAGAACGUGUGUGAGAGUGGAAAGUUCACACAGUGACGGUAGCUUACCAGAAAGGGACGGCUAACUACGUG
rnacentral:rRNA from 1 species